AUUGAACGCUGGCGGCAGGCCUACCACAUGCAAGUCGAACGAGCGGCGGACGGGUGAGUAAUGUAUGGGGAACUGCCUGAUAGAGGGGGAUAACUACUGGAAACGGUGGCUAAUACCGCAUACCAUCGGAUGAACCCAUAUGGGAUUAGCUUGUAGGUGGGGUAAAGGCUCACCAAGGCGACGAUCUCUAGCUGGUCUGAGAGGAUGACCAGCGACAAUGGAACUGAGACACGGUCCAGACUCCGACGGUAGGCAGCAGUGGGGAAUAUUGCGCAAUGGGGGCAACCCUGAUGCAGCCAUGCCGCGUGAAUGAAGAAGGCCUUCGGGUUGUAAAGUUCUUUCGGCAGCGAGGCGUUAACAACAGAAUAAGCACCGGCUAACUCCGUGCCAGCCGCCGCGGUAAUAC
rnacentral:rRNA from 1 species